UACAGAGACCUCAAACGUUAUCCGGAUUUAUUGGGCGUAAAGGGUCCGCAGGUGGUCAUGUAAGUCGGUGGUUAAAUCCCGGAGCUUAACUUCGGGGCCGCCAUUGAUACUGUAUGGCUUGAGACUGGGAGAGGCAAGCAGAAUUCUCGGUGUAGUCGUAAUAAGCGCUGAUAUCGAGAAGAAUACCAAAGGCGAAGGCAGCUUGCUGGAACAGUUCUGACACUCAUGGACGAAAGCGUGGGGAGCGAAUAGG
rnacentral:rRNA from 1 species